GUACUGCUGAAGAGUCCCAAACUAGGACGAUACAGCUGUUCAGUAA
rnacentral:hammerhead_ribozyme from 1 species